rnacentral:rRNA from 1 species
GAUGAACGUUGGCGGUGUGCCUAAUACAUGCAAGUCGAACGGAGUUAAUAGCAAUAUUGACUUAGUGGCGAACGGGUGAGUAACGCGUUGGUGAUCUGCCUUGAAGUGUGGAAUAACGCUCCGAAAGGAGCGCUAAUACCGCAUGUGCUCUCUAAUUUUAGAAACUUGAGAGGAAAGGAUUUAUUCGCUUCGAGAGGAGCCUGCGUCCCAUCAGCUGGUUGGUAGGGUAAAGGCCUACCAAGGCAAUGACGGGUAGGGGACCUGAGAGGGUCGGCCCCCCACAAUGGAACUGAAACACCGGUCCAUACACCGUACGGGUGGCAGCAGUAGGGAAUAUUAGAAAUGGACGAAAGUCUGAUCUAGCAACACCGCGUGUGCGAAGAAGGCCUUCGGGUCGUAAAGCACUUUUUGGAAGGAAUAGGAAGGAAUGUACUUCCAGAAUAAGUCUCGGCUAACUACGUG